GACGAACCGAGCGAACGUUAUUCGGAAUCACUGGGCUUAAAGGGCGCGUGGGCGGGCGGCCAAGUCAGGGGUGAAAGCCCCCAGCUCAACUGGGGAAGUGCCUUUGAUACUGGUCAUCUCGAGGGAGAUAGGGGCGUGCGGAACUUCCGGUGGAGCGGUGAAAUGCGUAGAUAUCGGAAGGAACACCGGUGGCGAAAGCGGCGCGCUGGAUCUCUUCUGACGCUGAGGCGCGAAAGCCAGGGGAGCGAACGGG
rnacentral:rRNA from 1 species